CUUGUUUUUAUUAUUGCUUGUAAGCCGCUCUGAGCCCAGCCUUGGCUGGGGAGGGUGGGGUAUAAAUAAAAAUUAUUAUUAUUAUUAUCCUCCAACAGUUGGGCAUGACCAUGAGGCUCAGGUUUCAGAGGGCUGCCACUAUUCCCCCUUAGCAUCUGCCACCCGAAGCAAUGGCCUUUCACUGCCUAAUGCUAGGGCCGGCCCUGAUAUUUAGCAGUUGUUUCCAGGAGGCAUUUCAGACACCAUUCUGUAGACCACACAAGCAGCCUUGCUUCUCGUUUGGCACUGACAGUGCGAACCUACUCAGAAGUGUGCAUUACUGGGUCCUACUCUCAGGCAAGUGUAUACAUGCUUUUCUAUGAACAUAAUAUGUAUCAUGUAACUAGAAUUUACAAAUAUGGCUCAUAAAUCUGGAAAUAAACAUGGACUGGAAAGGUGCAGUUUGAAUGUUGAGUGCUUAGGCUGGGCACUUGAGCCUCAUUGAAUUUUUGUAAUGAUAGGUGUACACAGGCUCUGUGUACCUUUGAAUGGAUGUGUGGAUACACACAGGUAAUCCAUAUUCCACCUCCAAAAGACAGAUUCUUCAGUUGUGUAUAUCAGGCAAAUUGUACAAAUGCACAUUUUCUCCAGUUGGGCAUCUGUUAUACACUUGCCAUCAUUUUGCACAAUUUUUCUGGAAUUGCUGGUCUUGGGGAGGAGCAGGGAAUUUUUCAGGAUACUGAAGCUCCAUAUCAAAAUUUACAUCCUAUUCAGUGUUCCCUACACCUUUUCCAGCAUCUGUCCUUCUCUCAUCUAGUCAUAAGGACUAGAAUCUUAUACUCUCAUGAUCUUCAGAUUUUAAGGAGUUUCCCAAUAGAGAAAUAUUUGAAUAAUGAACUCUGACCAAAAUGACUGCAUCACUGGACAUGCCCACAACAUGUUUCUCAUUUCCAGCAAUACAUCUUCAGCAUCUCUCUGCAUUAGACAGUGUCUUCCUGUAAAUAAGUUGUGGGUUUAGCCCUAGUCACAGAUUCAGAUGUUUUCUAAGGCAAAAGAGAGUAAGUGAUGGUUGAGUGGUCUGGGCCUUACUCAAACAAUAAGAAUGCAGGAGAACAACACAAAGGAGGUUCUGGAAACUGGUUUCAGGAUACCAGUUCAUAAAUCUUAAUUUUUAAUUGCUCAUUCACAUGCCAGGAGAAUGCAUUCAAACUUUAGGUACCAUCUGCACAUUUCCAAGGAGAUCGUAGAAACUCACUUCUAGAAUCAUUAUCUUUUCAGAAUUAACUUUCUCAGUUAAACUCAGUAUAACCUUGAAAAACUGCCAGUAUCUAGUAUCUACUACCUGUCAAACACAUCCAACACCUUACCAAGUUACAACAUUUGAGGCUUGUUUUUAUAACAAUUUUUAUUGAGUUUUAGCUGUACAGCAAAUAUAAAACAAACAAUCGAUCAAUAUAAGAUAAUAGAACAGAGCUUUGAGUGAAGUUACAAAGAAUACAGAAAAAUGGAAGACCGGGUCUAUUCAGGUAAGUAUAAUGACGAAUAAUGUUUUGACAUCUUGGAUUAAUCAGUUUGUUUCUUUGCUUCUCUUACAGAACGCUUGGGCCCACCAAGAUAGAAAACCACCUAGGAGGCACAAAGACAAUAAAACAAAGGACAAGGAUAAGCAUGUCAAAUCAGCCAAAUCUAUUUGAAAGCCACAGGUGGAGAAUGAUCAUGUUCCUGG
rnacentral:lncRNA from 1 species